ACAUGGACAUUAGCGGACUGGACGUAAUGGACAUGGGCGGCCCAAUGGUCAAAAAUAUUAGGUUUAAGUCGAUUUGGGCAAAAAUAGAUUUGGGCAAAAAACAUUUCUUGGUUUUGUCGGGAAACAUUUCUCCGGCGCUUAUUCGGCGAUUUCUUCUCUCCGGCGAUUUCUCCGGCGAGUUCCUUCAACAACUCAUCUCCAUCACAUCAUGGAUCCUCCUGAGAAUCCUAAUCUAUUCAAGAUAAUAUCGAGUUCCUUAAUGAAGACAAAGAUGGCGAGGGAGAAGAGGAAGAAGUUUAAAUUUGCUGUUAAUUUGUUUUUGGAUUUG